UGUAGAGCUGUGCCAGGCAACCUCAAACUGUACAAUCUUGGAAAGUAGAUCGAGCCCGGUUGACAGGUCUGACAGCACUGUCAACGAACCGGAAGGAGUUUUUUUUUUGUCUUUUUCGGCUAAAGCUGGAGCAAGCAGCUCGCCUCGUUUUUUGCUUAGCCACAAAAUUAGUUAAAGUGCGUAUUGCGCGAGGAAAAUAAUUCAGAAAUUUGUAAUAGUUAGCAGAACUACACUUAGCGCGAAACCACACAGCCCACCCAAGCCUACUUUGAGGUUAGAAAACGCCACCGAAUCCAACGGUCGAAGCAAGAAUUGUUUAAUUCGAUUGACCGGACGUUCGGUGAAGGAGAUAGUUAGGAGUGUUUCGGAUACACCGUUUAACCGAGGGAACCAUAAUCUUUCGAGCUGAACCAAACGGACACGCUACGAAGACGGUUUCUCGAGUAUUUUCUCCGAAAAUAAACACUUUUCUAACAUUCUCGAAAGAUUAUGACAACUAUCCGGCCAGAUGAGAACUGCCCGUAUUGCGGGCUUCCGGACGAAGCCGAUCGGGAAAUAGUCCAAUGCGACCGAUGCGACGUCUGGUACCACUUCCGAUGUGCCGGAGUGACGCGGGCAGUGAAACACCAGUCAUGGUUCUGCGGGCCGUGCCAGGCCGAACGACAUUACGGCCCGAAUCCCGAACUAAAUCCUGCCGGCAG